AAUCAGCGACGCCGCGUGAGCGAUGAAGCCCUUCGGGGUGUAAAGCUCUUUCGUCAGGGAAGAUGAUGACGGUACCUGGAGAAGCAGCUGCGGCUAACUACGUGCCAGCAGCCGCGGUAAUACGUAGGCAGCAAGCGUUGUUCGGAGUUACUGGGCGUAAAGGGUGUGUAGGCGGUUCUUUAAGUUUGGUGUGAAAUCUCCCGGCUCAACCGGGAGGGUGCGCCGAAUACUGAGGGACUAGAGUGCGGGAGAGGAAAGUGGAAUUCCUGGUGUAGCGGUGAAAUGCGUAGAUAUCAGGAGGAACACCGGUGGUGUAGACGGCUUUCUGGACCGUAACUGACGCUGAGACACGAAAGCGUGGGUAGCAAACAGGAUUAGAUACCCUGGUAGUCCACGCCCUAAACGAUGCAUAUUUGGUGUGGGUCAUUCAGUUGAUCCGUGCCGGAGCUAACGCGUUAAAUAUGCCGCCUGGGGAGUACAGUCGCAAGGCUGAAACUCAAAGGAAUUGACGGAA
rnacentral:rRNA from 1 species